AUACAUACCAUUUGAAUGUAUUGAAUAAUUUUAAUGUUGUUUUCAAGUCAAUAAAGUAUCUAAAUUGAUUUUCAAUUAUUAAAAAGUUUUUCGGUACAGAAUUUUAUACUUUAAUUCCAGUACCAUACCAAUUUCGGUUAAUCCGAGUUGGGCUCGGUCUCAUUUGAUACGGAUAAACUGGUCUGACUGCAUCUAAAAUGUAGAAGUUAAUGUAGAUCUCUGCUAUACUAUCACAUUGAUUUUUUUCAGGAUACGGAUCAGGAGGGUAAACCGACUGUAUCGGCUCAUCCCGCCAGAUUUUCCCCAGAAGACAAAUAUAGCAAACACAGACUCAUUAUAAAGCGAAGAUUUCAUUUGCUUCCCAUACAGAAGGAAAAGCCAACAUAUUAAUAUUUUGUAUUGUUUUUUUCUUUUCUUUUAAAGACUUGGUGUCGAAUUGUAAAACUGAAUGUUGUAACAUAAAGAUAUAUUAAAAUUUCAAAUAAAACUUAUUAAAAUGAA